UUGUGGAGGCCCAUGUCUUUUCUCUCAUGCUUCUGUUUGGUCCUCUCUCCUCUUUAUUUUCAGUGCUAAAGUUCUAUUUAUAUAUUUUCUACAGACAUAUACAUGUACAUAAUAGACUGUAAAAGCCUCCACAACCACUCUCUUUCUCUCCUUAAUAUAAAAAGAAAAAAGCCUUAUAGAAGAAGACAACAUCAUCCUUCCAAAACCUAACAGCCUUUUCAUUAUUUAAUUCUUACAAUGACCUGUCAUUCAUGUGCUUUUCCACAUUUACCUCUUUAUUUUUUAAUUUAUUUUUAAUCUUUUCUUUUACCUCCAUUUUAGUCCCUUUGUCUCACCUAUAUUUAUAUCAUUUUAUAAUCAGUGCUUUUUCUUUCUUUUGUGUAUUCAAGAGGAAGAAAAAGAGUGAGAACUUGAGUACUUUGCAGCCUUGGGUUUUCUUUGAUUGUUGAAUCAUGAGAAACAUAGAGUGAAGAAUCCUUGGAAGAAGGAAAAGGUGUGUUUGGAAUGAAGUUUGAUCCAAGAUCCUUGUUAGUAUACUGUUUUCUUUGUAUUUAUAUAUCAAAAUAGGGGUUUUCUUGUUCUAGACUACUACCUGUUUUAGUUUUAUUGUUCCAUCAAAAAAGAAAAGGCUGAAGAAGGAAGAUUUUCUUGAGUAGUUUCAAGAUCCUCUCCCUCUUCAAUCUUGUGUUUUUCCUUUUUUAAUGUGUGAAUACGAGAGAGACUAAACAAAGGAAGAUUCAAGAUCCUUUUACUUCUUAUUACAUAUCUUCUUUAAGCGUGAGUUUAAGAGAGGGAUCAAGAAAGAGAGAGAUAUUGAAAUUAAAUUUGCAGUCUUGUCCAUGUCCUUCUUUUUUUUUUUUCCAUUUCUUUUACGUUUUGAUCUUGAAAGAUGAUAGUACCAACAGCCUGAUCUCGGACCAGGCUUCAUUCCUUACACCAAGCUUUUCCAUACUCAGAUAUAAAGAUACCAACACCAUAUCAUAUCCACGCGAAUCGACGAAGAGAAUUUAUCAUAUUUUCAUUGUUUAAUUGGAUAUGUAUUACUUAUUCAGCGGUUAUUUACAUGUAGUGCAGGUGAUUCAGUAAGUGGUAGUUCUUUAAGCUUUGAAAAUUUUCUUUCUGAACUAAGGGUAAUCUGAGCGUUUGCUAUAUUAGAUUU